GACGAACGCUGGCGGCGUGCUUAACACAUGCAAGUCGAACGCUGAAGCUCAGCUUUUGUUGGGUGGAUGAGUGGCGAACGGGUGAGUAACACGUGAGUAACCUGCCCCCUUCUUUGGGAUAACGCCCGGAAACGGGUGCUAAUACUGGAUAUUCACUGGUCUUCGCAUGGGGGUUGGUGGAAAGGGUUUUUCUGGUGGGGGAUGGGCUCGCGGCCUAUCAGCUUGUUGGUGGGGUGAUGGCCUACCAAGGCUUUGACGGGUAGCCGGCCUGAGCGGGUGACCGGUCACAUUGGGACUGAGAUACGGCCCAGACUCCUACGGGAGGCAGCAGUGGGGAAUAUUGCACAAUGGGCGCAAGCCUGAUGCAGCGACGCCGCGUGAGGGAUGGAGGCCUUCGGGUUGUGAACCCCUUUCGCUCAUGGUCAAGCCGCAACAAUGGUUGUGGUGAGGGUAGUGGGUAAAGAAGCGCCGGCUAACUACGUG
rnacentral:rRNA from 1 species